UACGUAGGGGGCAAGCGUUGUCCGGAAUCAUUGGGCGUAAAGCGCGCGUAGGCGGCCCGGUAAGUCCGCUGUAAAAGUCAAAGGCUCAACCUUUGAAUGCCGGUGGAUACUGUCGGGCUAGAGUCCGGAAGAGGCGAGUGGAAUUCCUGGUGUAGCGGUGGAAUGCGCAGAUAUCAGGAGGAACACCGGUGGCGAAGGCGGCUCUCUGGACCACAACUGACGCUGAGGCGCGAAAGCUAGGGGAGCAAACGGG
rnacentral:rRNA from 1 species